GUUCUAUGCUGAAGAACUUUUUGACAGGGUGAGGCCCUUAUUGCUAAAUAGACUUUUAUCCAAAUUUAUUUUAGUUCAACUUUUACAGUUCAUGUUUGCUUUCAUUUUAUAUUUUUUAUAUUCUAUAUGUGCUAUAAUAUUUAUAUAUAAAGUCAAUCACUGUUUGGAAGAUGUGAAUACUUGUUCUUAUAAGCACAAUGGGUUUUAUUUGCUAAAUGCUAUUUGUUGGCCCGGUUCGUUAGACUCAGUAAUUUACCACUUAUCACUCUGAUAAAAAAGCAAAUGAUAAACAAAGACACACGUAUCUUUGGAAUCUUGGAGAACAUACCGUUAAGCUGAGAGAGGC